rnacentral:rRNA from 1 species
UACGAAGGGGCUAGCGUUGCUCGGAAUCACUGGGCGUAAAGCGCACGUAGGCGGCUUCUUAAGUCAGGGGUGAAAUCCUGGAGCUCAACUCCAGAACUGCCUUUGAUACUGGGGCGCUUCGAGUCCGGGAGAGGUGAGUGGAACUGCGAGUGUAGAGGUGAAAUUCGUAGAUAUUCGCAAGAACACCAGUGGCGAAGGCGGCUCACUGGCCCGGUACUGACGCUGAGGUGCGAAAGCGUGGGGAGCAAACAGG